AGAGGGACUCUGGCCUUGCAAGAGUCCCUAUUUCCCCCUUUUUUUUUGCUUUUCACACAGUAAAACCCUGCUUUACUUCCCUUUGAGUCGUCUGUGAGCCUAAAUUUUUGUGGCUGUGGGAAGGACAAGAACCCCAUCUUUAGCUGAAAUAAGGAAAAGUUCCGCAACAUUUUUGGCACACACCCUGGGGGCUCCGGAAGUGGAAUGCUGUCGGAACUGGACCUUGAUGAAGGAAAUACUUUCUGACUCAUUGGAAUUUGUUAUAGUCAAAAACCCUCAACCCUGCAUCCUACCAUCCUGGGCUUGCACUGCAAGUUACAUGAUCCCUGAGCUGACCACUUUGGCUUGAAUCCCUGGAAGGAGAAAGGAGAGAGAGAGCAACUAGUUCAGACACAAGCAUCUAGUUCAGCUUUGUUUGCCUAUGUGAUAACUUAGGUCUUCACGAUGGCCCAGAGUAAGACGACGCAGGAGGACCCUUCUAGUCAUUUAAUUAUUGCUUGACCAGAACUGUGCCUUGUAAGGUGUUUCCAGACCUAAGAAUAACAGGAACAUGGAGGAGUGGCAUCUCCAGUGUAGCCACCCACCAAAGCCUCAUCCUGAACACUAUGGCCUAGUGGGUCACUUACAGGGAUGUAGCUGGCAUUGAUGUAGUCAGAGCAAGGAUCAUCAUCUACAUUGGAGAGCUUCACUCGCGUGGCAUCAUCUGGAAGGAGAGAUUUGCUGCUGAGUCUUGGAGUGACUUUUCUACAGUUUAUGUGAUGUGUGUGAUGUGCCUUAGCUCUGAUCCCCACAACAGCCACAGAUGGGAAGUGAUCUUAUCUCCAUUUUGCAGAUGAGGCUCAGGCAGGAUAACUAACUUGCCCCAUGUUGCAUAGGUGGCCUAUAACCAGUCAGACACAGGAGACAACAUGAAGCCCCAUCUGUGCUUCCCUUUCUGACAUUACCACAUUUGCCUGAUGGAGUGGCCAGCUCCCUUUCACUGCUGGAAUGAAUACAAUCCAGAAAACCUACCUUCUAUUGCUUUACCUAAUGGGGUAAGGAAAUUUAAGUAGAAAUUGCUAACCGAAGACUUUGCUAAGCAAACCCAGGUCUGCUUGAUGUCAGAGCCCUUGCUGUUAACCCCAUUUACUGCUUAGCCUCCAAAGAGAAGCAAUAGCAUCACAUGGGGAAAUGUCAACAGCAUAAGAGGACUUUCAUAAUCAGAAUUUAAACUGGCUAUUAUCCCUCUGGAGGGAAGUGCAGGAAUAUACAAGCUAUUUCUUAUUAAAGGCAUUCAGAGCUUGAGAUUGUCCAUAUCGAGCUAUAUUAUAUUUCUUUAGCCUCAUUUCAUUUUUGGAGAAAAAUGCAGAAAUGGCUAGAGGAAGACAGUAUUACAAAUUUUGACACAAAACUUACAGGGCAAUAUAUUGUUGUAUCGAUUUUUCCCUCUAUUCUCCGGCAAGAGUGCAAUGUCACAUGACUGGUUUCGGCCCACGUCUUUUAACUCCUGUUAGGUCAAAUAUGAGUUUGUAAGUGGAGAAUAUGAAAUAGAAUAAAGCAAAUCAUACAGUCCUGGAGAUAACAUAAUAACAUGAAAAUAUAUACACUAGCUAUUGUUUAUGAAUGCCUAGUACUCAACAUGCAUUAGCCCUGAUCCCCACAACAGCCCCACAAGGGAGGUGGUGGUCUCACUAUUUUACAGGUGAGGCUCAGUCAGGAUAACUGAUGUGCCCCAGGUCACCCAAGUGGCAAACCUGAGAAUCAGUUCCAAAAGCUACGUGCUUUUUGCGAAACCACGGCAUCUUCCAGCCAAGCAAAUGGCCAGGCUGAAUAUCUGACAGCUUUAGGUCUGCAUUUGAGAUUUGUUAAUUCUUCCUUACUAUCUGAUCCAGGUAGCCCUUGGUUUGCUGUGUUAUUCUGGAGCUCAAGCUGGCCUCUAAGAUUAGAUGGUAUAUUCUAUUCAGGGCAUAGUUUAGGCAUAAAAGAGUGCUCAGCUGAGAUUCUAAGCAGCCUCCUAACUUCUGAGCUCAAUCAGCCUAUGAUGACACAGUAAACAUUAGGAAGGAAAUUCUGCUAAGAACUAGGGAUGCUGAAGCUUCAUUCUGCCUGAGUUGUACCUCGUAUUCCUUGGAUAGAAGGUAGUUGGAGUCAGCCUGUAGCUUCAUGAAAUGCCCUUCAAACUGAUUUAUUUUUAUUGGACUGUAAUUAAAAAUGAAACAAACAGAAAAGAGUUACUGCAGAAAAGGGAAAGUGCCAUAACUAUUCUGACUCAUAUUUCAAAGGCAGAUAAUAUAGUAAUUAAUGUGUUCUCUCUCUUACCAAGAAGUUUUCCGGUUACUGUGAAGAGAAGCCAAAAGAGGAAGACUUUGUUAGCAAAUUUCACAUAAUACCAUCUUUCAACAAAUUAUACGAAGGCAAAUGUGGUGCUUACCCUUUCUGGCCCAGGUUUAAGUGGACAGAUAAUGGUCGAUCCCUACGAAUGCUCAGACGGGCAGAGGGUCUUUCUCGACCAUGGCUGAAACAUAAGGGAGAUAACUUUUAUUCUGAUUAUGAUACUUGGCUUGAACAAAUUUUUCCAUUUAUGGUAAGGCUGUGGAUGUUUGUGCAAAUAUGGAUUUUUCAGUAUUCAUACAGAUUUGCACUCAGCCAACAUCUCUGAGGGAGGGAAAGGAAAGAGAAUAAAGUAGAUCAUUCCCACCCAGAAACGGAUCUCUGCAAAAACUGAAGAUUUGUCUCCUGGUUUUUGGCUACAGGUUAUAAUCACUUCCCACAUUCUCAAUAAAACUUUGCUUUAAAAAAAUCCAGUAAAUUUCAGAUGCCAGACACGACUUCAAUAAAGAGGAACAUGUGCCAAAUUAAGAAAAAAAAUUCACUAAGAGAAGAAGGCACGACACUUGGGGCCACAUGCUAUUUGGUUCUUUUUGGUCCCUUCUUAAAUUAGGAUGGCAGAUAUGAACUACAAAAUGGUGAUGUCAACCACACUUUUCAGGAUAUUUCAGAAAAGCACUUGGGCAUGCAAUUUGCAAACAUCUCUGUCUUCAUGAGGAUAUGAACCACACACACACACAAAAUAUUUUUUUCCUGUGCAAAAGGAGUCACUUCAUCUUUAAAUAAAGCUAUAGAUGGCCCCUCAGUCCUUUGGUAAGGGCUGAAUUCAUCAAUGGGAUAUAAAAGAGCUGAGAAAAGUGAGUCAUGGCUUUAGAGUUUGACUUGUUUUUAUUGAGAAAACAGUGACAAUUUAACCUGGAAAAAUUAAAUUAUUUUCCCUUCUUAGUUUUCAGCCUAAAGGGAAUUUUCAGUUGCAUUUUUAAAGUUGUGGGUCCAAUCACCAAAAGGAUCUUUGUACUUACCUCACUUUCUGUCUGCAGAUCAAUAAGGCAACAACAGCCACUAGCAUGCCAAUUAAAAACAGACCAGCACUCACACCUUCAAUAGCUCCAAACAAGGGCUCUACAAUAAUCCAGAUAGAAACAACAAACGCAGGUGGGAAAAUUAGUGCUAGGGAACCAGUAAGAAAGCUAUUGAAGCCAUAUCUCCCAAGUAAUGUUAUUACAAAUAGAAUUCAAGUGAUGCCCACGAUGAGGCAUUUACUUUCCAAAGGCUCUGAGUAUGCACCUAAGAAGAUGAUGAAAGGCUGGCUCCCACCCUGUAGCAGUGAGGCCAGGUGUCACUGCAUACUUUUGAAGUUAAUGUUGCAUAGCUUAUAGAGGAAUUUUGGACUUUGCACUUGUAUAUAAAGCUUGGGGCACCUGAGAUAAAGGCCAUAAGUUUGCCACCAAGAUAAAAAUGCCAUUUCAUUUAUAUAAAACAUGUUACACAGCAUCUGGGGCUUUGGAAAAUCCAGUGGAUUGCUUGGAGCUAUUCUAAGAAGUCUUAUUUUUAUUAUCUGGUAUGGUAACGCUACUGGGAGUUUAUGAAGAGGUAAGAGUGGCCUCAUUUUUAAAAUAGCUUUAUUGAAAUAUCAUUCAUAUAGCAUGCAACUCACCCAUCUAAGUUGUACAAUUCAGUGGUCUUUAGUAUAGUCAAAGUUUUGCAAAUGUCACCACAAUCAAUUUUAAAACAUUUUCAUCACCCUCAAAAGAAACCGCGUACCUAUUAGCAGUCAGUCCCACUCCUCCCUCCCCGCGAUCCCUGGCAACCACUAAUCUACUUUCUGUGUCUGUGGAUUUGCCUAUUCUGGAUGUUUCAUAGAAAUGAAAUCAUAAAUCUGUGAUCUUUUGGGACUGGCUCCUUUCAUUUAGCAUAAUGUUUUCAAGGUUCAUCCAUGUUAUAGCAUAUACCAAGAUUUCAUUCCUUUUUAUGGUUGAAUAAUCGUCCAUUGUAUGGAUAUAUCACAUUUUGUUUAUCCAUUGAUGGACAUUUAAAUUGCUUCUACUUUUUGGCGAUUAUGAAUAAUGCUGCUAUGAAC
ensembl:lncRNA novel transcript, antisense to PTPRB